AUUGAACGCUGGCGGCAUGCUUUACACAUGCAAGUCGAACGGCAGCGCGGGCUUCGGCCUGGCGGCGAGUGGCGAACGGGUGAGUAAUGCAUCGGAACGUGCCCAGUAGUGGGGGAUAGCCCGGCGAAAGCCGGAUUAAUACCGCAUACGACCUGAGGGUGAAAGCGGGGGACCGAAAGGCCUCGCGCUAUUGGAGCGGCCGAUGUCGGAUUAGCUAGUUGGUGGGGUAAAGGCUUACCAAGGCGACGAUCCGUAGCUGGUCUGAGAGGACGACCAGCCACACUGGGACUGAGACACGGCCCAGACUCCUACGGGAGGCAGCAGUGGGGAAUUUUGGACAAUGGGGGCAACCCUGAUCCAGCCAUGCCGCGUGCGGGAAGAAGGCCUUCGGGUUGUAAACCGCUUUUGUUCGGGAAGAAAUCCUCUGGGCUAAUACCCCGGGGGGAGGACGGUACCGGAAGAAUAAGCACCGGCGAACUACGU
rnacentral:rRNA from 1 species